rnacentral:ribozyme from 1 species
GAGACGACCGGAAUGAAUGAAUGAAUGAAUGACAACACAGAAGAUCGGGGCAGCUAGCUAGCUAGGACUCGAAGGUCCCUUUUUGUUCGUUCGAAAGGGUGUGUUUUUUUGUUUUUGUUUUGUUUUUUGUUUUUGUUUGUGUGUGUU